CCUACGGGUGGCAGCAGUCGAGAAUCAUUCACAAUGGGGGAAACCCUGAUGGUGCGACGCCGCGUGGGGGAAUGAAGGUCUUCGGAUUGUAAACCCCUGUCAUGUGGGGGCAAAUUAAAAAGAUAGUACCACAAGAGGAAGAGACGGCUAACUCUGUGCCAGCAGCCGCGGUAAUACAGAGGUCUCAAGCGUUGUUCGGAAUCACUGGGCGUAAGGCGUGCGUAGGCUGUUUCGUAAGUCGUGUGUGAAAGGCGCGGGCUCAACCCGCGGACGGCACAUGAUACUGCGAGACUAGAGUAAUGGAGGGGGAACCGGAAUUCUCGGGGUAGCAGUGAAAUGCGUAGAUAUCGAGAGGAACACUCGUGGCGAAGGCGGGUUCCUGGACAUUAACUGACGCUGAGGCACGAAGGCCAGGGGAGCGAAAGGGAUUAGAUACCCCAGUAGUC
rnacentral:rRNA from 1 species